rnacentral:rRNA from 1 species
CCCUACGGGGUGCAGCAGGCGAAUAUGCUGGCGUUCAUCGACUGCUUCUGGCUGACGGCGAUGGUGUUUGUGGUGCUGGUGCCGGUCGUUUUUGUUAUGAAAAAGACUGAUAUGCAUGGCGAGGCAGGGAUGCAUUAAUGGCAAAGCAAACAGAGAACUCACCACGAAGAACACGAAGGGCACGAAGGAAAUGAAAGGCAAAGAAUAAAGAAAUCUCAGAUUUGGAAAAUUUCAGAUUUGAGAGAGAAAGCGAUGAUUGAUCAUUGUUGAUUGUUAAUUAGGUGUAGAGAAGGUCGUAUGAAACUGGAAUUGAUAUUAGUCGGAUUGGCGGUUGUGGGGAUGGCUGGGUGCAAGGCGGGGGGGC